rnacentral:snRNA from 1 species
AUCGUUUCUUGACCUUUUGGCUAAGAUCAAGUGCAGUAUCUGUUCUUCUCAGUUUAAUAUCAGAUGUGUCCUCUAUCCGAGUACAAUGUAUUAAAUGGAUUUUUGGAACAGAGAAAUGAAAUAGGAGCUUGCUCCGUCCACUCCACACAUUGACCUGGUAUUACGUACCUCCAGGAACGGUGCACAAAGA